rnacentral:rRNA from 1 species
AUUGAACGCUGGCGGCAGGCCUCAAACAUGCAAGUCGAACGAGUGGCGGACGGGUGAGUAAUGUCUGGGAAACUGCCUGAUGGAGGGGGAUAACUGCUGGAAACGGUAGCUAAUACCGCAUACCCUCAGAUGUGCCCAGAUGGGAUUAGCUAGUUGGUGGGGUAACGGCCCACCAAGGCGACGACACCUAGCUGGUCUGAGAGGAUGACCCGCCACACUGGAUCUGAGACCCGGUCCAGACUCCUACGGGAGGCAGCAGUGGGGAAUAUUGCACAAGGUGCGUAAGCCUGAUGCAGCCAUGCCGCGUGUAUGAAGAAGGCCUUCGGGUUGUAAAGUACUUUCAGCGGGGAGGCGUUACCCGCAGAAGAAGCACCGGCUAACUCCGUGCCAGCAGCCGCGGUAAUAC